GGAGAGGUGGCGGAGUGGCCGAACGCAGCUGCCUGCUAAGCAGUUGGCCGGGUAACUGGCCCUCGGGUUCAAAUCCCGACCUCUCCG
rnacentral:tRNA from 1 species